rnacentral:rRNA from 1 species
GGGCCUUGCGCGUUUUGAGUGGCCCAAGUGGGAUUAGCUAGUUGGUAAGGUAAUGGCUUACCAAGGCGACGAUCCCUAGCUGGUCUUAGAGGAUGACCAGCCACACUGGAACUGAGACACGGUCCAGACUCCUACGGGAGGCAGCAGUGGGGAAUAUUGCACAAUGGAGGAAACUCUGAUGCACCCAUGCCGCGUGUGUGAAGAAGGCUUUCGGGUUGUAAAGCACUUUCAGUGGGGAGGAAAGGGUGAUGCUUAAUAAGUAUCAUCUGUGACGUUACCCACAGAAGAAGCACCGGCUAACUCCGUGCCAGCAGCCGCGGUAAUACGGAGGGUGCGAGCGUUAAUCGGAAUUACUGGGCGUAAAGCGCGCGUAGGUGGUUAAUUAAGUCAGAUGUGAAAGCCCAGGGCUCAACCUUGGAACUGCAUUUGAAACUGGUUAACUAUAGUUUUGUAGAGGGUGGUAGAAUUUCAGGUGUACCGGUGAAAUGCGUAGAGAUCUGAAGGAAUACCAGUGGCGAAGGCGGCCACCUGGACAAAGACUGACACUGAGGCGCGAAGGCGUGGGGAGCAAACGGGAUUAGAUACCCCGGUAGUCCACGCAGUAAACGAUGUCUAUUAA